AUCUUUGGGGUCAUUAAUGGGUACGAACGGAUUUGUCUUCAGCUUGCUGAAAAGUUAAUAUCGAGUUUCGACUUGGAAAUCUGUUGUGGUAUUAGUCAAAGGAGAAGAAAUGUCUUCGUGAAUGGUUGAUCUGAGAAAUGGUUAUGGUCUGCUACGUGUUCAUUAUCAUUUAUACAGUAUAAUAAUGUUGGAAUAAGACUCCAGCUAAUAAGGGGUAUUACAUCCGAUUCAGGCUUAUUCUGAGUAAAUGUGAGGUUCUGAUCUUUUGUAUGGUUUCGGGGGUGCAAUGUGACUCUACGGUUAUGGUCUAGAUGGCCUGUGAAAUUUUAGUUGUGGUGUAUUAUCAGGCAUAUGUGAGUUAGUGUGACGUGGGAUCACCCAGGGUAUAUGAUUAGUAAGGUCAUUCGGAUAUUGGUUGGCUCCUAGUACAACCAACUCUGGGCACGCUCGAGGACGAGCGUUUGCUUAAGUUGGGGAGGAUGUAACGACCUAACCUGUAGUCCCGGGUAUCUCCGCCUCAUUUUUCCUGUUUUAUGCUUCUAUAUGUUUCAUUAUAUGUGUUUGGUGAAUUGAUGUAAUUUUGAUAGAGAUUGGUUAGAAAUGAGACAAUUAGUCUCUUUAUGAGAAGGUUAGUUUGGAAAAGUCAAUCGAAUGUUGACAUAUGUGUUAGAGGGCUCGGAAUGAAUUUUUGAUGAGCCGAAUAGUUUUGGGUGUUGAUUUGUGACUUAGGAGCACAAUCGGAAUUGAAUUUGAAGAUCCGGUGUUGAAUUGGCUAAGUUUGAAUUUUUGGCAAAUUCAGGUUGAUGGGUGAGAUUUUGAUCCGGGGGUCGGAAUGCAAUUCCUACAUACUCUAUAGAGGUGAGUAGUUUGCAUAGAUGAUGGUCUGAGAGUUUGAAACCCAUGUUUAUCCCAUUGUAACGCUAUGUAGGGAAUGACUCGCACCCCAUGGUAGGUGCGGGGUUGUUUAUGACUAGGGAUUGUGACUUGGUCCACCCCGAACAAUAAUUUAACUUUAUUGGCGACUAAUACGCACCCUAUAUGAGUAUAUCUGGUCUUAUUGCCAUGUUUGGGGCCUUGUGCCGAUUUGUAGCAUCUGUCUAGGAAAAAUAUCAUUUGUGAUAGCAUGAUUUGUAUAACCACUUAUCUCAGUCCUGUGUUUAAUCACUGUAAUGAAAUGCUAAGUCACUUUUCCUAAAAUUAAAUAAAUAAAUUAUAUUCUUCCUAAGAAUUUGAAACUGGAAAAUAAAUUGAAUUUGUUAUGUGACUCCUAUGCAUACUGUGGACUGAGCAUGGAUCGGGCUACAUGCCAUAGCGAUUAAAUACAUUUAUAUUGAGGGCGAGAGCCUGUUUUGUCCAAAUACCUGGCUGAUAUUGUGCUUGGGCUGUACGAGCCCCUCCGGAGUAUGUAUACACCCCCAGUGAGGGCUGUCGACGUUUAACGGAUCGGGUUGUACGCCCCAGCGGAUUCAUGUGCAUUGCAUUGCAUCUUUGCAUGAUACUUGACUGAUUUACUUGAUAUUGAUUUGCUAUUAAUUCGUAGUUAAGGUGUGGGACUGUAGUUUUAGCUUUGCUUUGCUACAUUUCGUGGAUUUUUUAUCUUCAGACAUUUUAUAUGCGUAUUACUCACUGAGUCGGUAGUACUCACCCCUACUCCCUGCACCUUGCGUACAGAUUCAGGUGCACCGGAUGCUUAGCUUAGCAGUCGCUGUCUCCAGAGCUUAUCAGAGUUGUUGAGGUAGCUUCUUGACGUUCGCAGGACCUGGCUACUCUUCCCAUUUCAGUUUCAUUAUUAUAUACAUUUUCAGACUUGAGUAUUUUUGUGCAAAUAUUAUUAUUCAGUUUGUUUAGAGGCUCUAGGCUCGUGGCCCUAGAUCUUAUGGGAGUGUUUAUCGAUUUCCGUAUUAUUUUACUAAUAUUAUUAUUAUUCUAAAUUAUUACAUUUCUCCUUAAGUUGUCGGUAUUGAGACUUAUUGUUAAAUUGAGAGAGAUUGUUGGUCAGGCUUGCCUAGCUUUAGGGUUGGGCGCCAUCACGACCGAGUUUGGGUCAUAACAUGAAGGUUUUAUCUUAAUUUAAAAUCCACUUUAAGCGGCUAUCUAAAAAUUUAAAUGAUUCUUUAGCCAAAAAAGCUUUAUUUCAGUAUGAGUGUUGAUCGACAUCUCUAUUCAUAUAUUUAAAUUUUGAGUAUCUUAUAAAUAUAUAUUUUUUGUUCUUUGAAUCAUUAAGUGUUAGAUUAGUUGACUAUUAUGAUAAUUACAUAUGUCUUAAAAUUGUCAAGUAGUAUUUUCUCGACACCAUACUUGGCUUAACCUCAAUGCAAAUUACUCAAAUUGAAUUUAAAUUCAAAUUUGAAUAUCAUAUCAGCUUGUUAGUAAUAGUAAUUUUUAAAAACAACGCACAAUGUAAAUUAAUAAAAUAUUCUAGGAUAUCCUUAUCUUAUAAUCUAUGUAUUUGAGUGGAAAAAAAAUUUAAAAUCGAUGAGAUCAACUUCAAAAAUUUUUAUACUCAAUAAAGAUGAAACAGAAGAAGAAAUUCGUUGUCAUCUCUUAUUUAUGGUUUUUAGCUUUUUUGCAGCUAAAUGAAGAGAUCUCAGCUUAUACCCUUCAAUUCCUUGAAGGUGCUAAAUUGAAUUUAAUGACAACAAUUGUAUUGCAAAAGUUUUGUUAUUUAUUUGUUGUACAUUUAUGUAAAUUGACUCUUCAAACAAAUAUUAUUCAAGAAAAACGUUUUUUUAAUAUUAACUAAUUUUUGUGAUCUUUCUUUCUCCAGUAUGUAGUUUACUUCAUUAUAUAUGUAAGUAAACUUUAUUCGAUUUUAAAAUUCUUUUUUGUUCUCUGGAUAAAUAUAGAUGUGUACUUUAUAUGUUACAUUUAUUUAAAAAGAAAUUUGCUUGAUUUCAAAUCUAGCUCUAGUAUUUAAAUAACUAUAAUUAUAGGGUUUUAAAUAUGAAAGAGUAUUUUAGUUAUAUGGAGUAGUAUUUUUGCUAUUUUGCAAGAGACGAAGUAGUAUUUAAAUAACUAAAAGAGAUAACAAAAGGUCUUAAUAUGAUUGCUUAUGAUCAUUCACCGAAAUAAGUGUGAUAACUUGAUAUCAAAAGAAAAUUUUCUCUCUGAUUUUAAUUCUAAUUUAAAAACUUUAUAUAUAAAUUCAAAAUUUUCACUACCCGAAUUUCCCACCAUUGGGAGUCGUGAAGGCACAUACUAAUAGGAGCUAGGCAAGCCAAUUAUCAAUACCUCUAUAAAGAACAUCGACAAUAUUAACAAAUAAAACAUCUAACAAUAAAGCAGAAGUCUCAAAUAUAAUUUACUGAAAGAAAUGCGGAAGUUUAAAACAUAUCUCUACCCAAAAUCUGGUGUUGCUAGCUCACGGACUACUAAAGAGUGCUACAAUCAAGUUUGAACAAAAAGAAAUACAUAGUGUCUGUCUCUGUACAAUGAAAACAAACCAAGACACGGAAAGGGACUCCGCCCUGCGAGCGCCAACUAGGCUACCUCGUAAGUCCCUGGACUGAAGUCAGCUCCCGGUCAAUAAGCUACUGCUAUGGUCCUAAAGCUGCUCCAGUACCAUAAUCUGUGCAAAAAGCACAGAUGUGUAGCAUCAUCACAAACGACCCCAUGUGCUGGUAAGUGCCUGGCCUAACCCCAGCGAUGUAGUGACGAGGCUAUACAGGACCUACCUAAAACCACCUGUGCAUAUAUAUAUAUAUAUAUAUANNNNNNNNNNNNNNNNNNNNNNNNNNNNNNNNNNNNNNNNNNNNNNNNNNNNNNNNNNNNNNNNNNNNNNNNNNNNNNNNNNNNNNNNNNNNNNNAUAUAUAUAUAUAUAUACAUACAUACAAAGGCUAUGGAAAUAACAACAGAGUACAUCAACUAAAAAGGGGAAGGGGCAUGCUCGAGGAAAGAAACAGUGAAAACAGAUCAACGAAUAUAACAACGCAACUAUCUCAAUACCGUAACUCAUAUAUAAGUGGUCGGUGCGCCACACGAUCCCAUUUCUUAGUUCGUAAGUGGCAGCGUGCCACACGUUCCCAUUUCAUAACAUCUCGUGGUCGGCGUGCCACACGAUCCCAUCCAUAAUAUCUCGUGGUCGGCGUGCCACACGAUCCCAAUCAUAAUAUCUCGUGGUCGACGUGCCACACAAUCCCAAUCAUAAUAUCUCAUGGUCGGCGUGCCACACGAUCCCAAUCAUAAUAUCGCAUGUCGGCGUGUCACACGAUCCCAAUCAUAAUAUCUCGUGGUCGGCGUGCCAUAUGAUCCCAAUCAUAAUAUCUCGUGGUCGGCGUACCACACGAUCCCUUAUCUUUCGACACAAAACACAAAAUAAUCCCAGCAAGGGAGGAAAAAUAUCAUAAUAAACUAUCCCGGCAAGGGAGAUCCAGCUAUAACAAAACUCAUUCUCUACUUAAUGCGAUAAAAUUCGUACUUAGUCUCAACAAUUAUUGGCUCGAUAUUAAAGAUUUUUAACCAAUUCCUCAUAAACAACAACUAAGAAUUCGAUAAUUUAACAAUUUAGGACUCACGGUCAUACUCGACACCGGUGUAUACAUACUCGUUAAAAUGCCUCUACACCGUACUCAACAUUUAGCAAUUAUAAUAUAAUACCGUAAUCAUAUUUCAUCAAGCCAAAGUUAGAUCAAGCACUUAUCUCGAAACCUCCAAACUCACUCAAGCCUCUAGUAUAGCUUUACUCCUUGAAUUCACCACAAAACCGCUCGAAUCUAGUUACAAAUUACUCAAAUGUAUCAACAAAUGCUAGUUAAAUCAAUUUGAAUGCAUAAGAAUGAAUUUCCCAAAGUUAUGUCCAAAAAUUACAAAAAUGCCCCCGGGCCCGUGUGGUAAAUACUCGAGGUUUGAACCAAUAAUGAAUUUCCAAAGUUUUGCCAAAAAUUUCCAAAAUGCCCCCGAGCCCACGUGGUCAAAACCUGAGGUUCGAACAAAAAUUCGGUUGCCCAUUCCCCCAUGAGUUCCUAUAUAUGAUUUGUUUUGAAAUCGGACCUCAAAUUGAGGUCCAAAUGCCCAGUUUAGUAAGUUCUACCCAAAAUCCCCACUUUCACCCAUAGAAAACCUUGCUUUUAACAUGAAAACAUGAUAAAUAAUUUAAAAGAUUGAAGAAAUUAGGUAGAAGUUGACUUAAAAAUGAUUUGUAGAAGAAGGAGAUAGUGAAAAAUCGCCAAUGGGUGUUUGGGUUUUGAAAAUAUAAAAAAUGAAGCUUUAAAAUCAUCUAACUAUGGGAUAUGCAGGUGCAGGUAUCGCAAAUGCGAAACUGGGUUUACAAUUGCGAACCCAGUGGGCUUGGUUGGGAUUUGUGAGAAAGCAAUUCGCAUUUGUGAACAAUGGACAGCCCAGGGGUUUUUCGCAUUUUUGAUCCAAAUCUUCGCAUUUGGGAACAACCCCAGUUCCGCUUUUGCGAGACCAAAGAUCGCAUUUGCCAUCCAGCCCAGACCACUAGAAUUCGCAUUUGCGCCCAAAAGCUCGCACUUGCAAGUUCAUCCUUUGCAUAUGCGAAGAUCACAGAAGCCCAAAAUACCAUAUUUUUUUCCUAAGGCUAAAAUGUAACCCAACACCUAUCAAAACUCAUCCGAGCCCUCGAGGCUCCAAACUAAACAAGCACACAACCUGAAAAACAUCCUAUGGACUUAAGCGUGUGACAAAAUUGCCAAAAUAACAUCAAAAUCUAUGAAGUAAGCCUCGAAAUACAUAAUUCUUCUUUCAAUUUUCAUCAACUUCAAAUUUCUCAUUUUAGUCCAAAAUACAUCAAACGACGUCCGUUUUCAAGAAAACUUUACAUGUAGCGCUUAACACAUAAUUAAGACUUGUACUGGGUGUCUGAACCAAAAUACAAGCCCGAUAUCAAAGAUUUAUUACUCAUUUUCCUAUUAAAUUUUCAUAUCAUUUUCAGAAAAAUAAUUUCUUUCAAAAAUUCUUUACGCGGACUCGGGACCUCGGAUUUUGAUUUCGGGAAUACGCCCGAGUCCCAUAUUUUUCUAUGGACCUUGUGGGACCGUCACCUCAUGAGUCCGGGUCCGUUUACCCAAAAUUUUGACCAAAGAUAAUUUAACAAUAUUAAUAUCAAAAUUCUUCAAAUUUUUCACAGAAUUCACAUAUUUCAACAUAAAAGCUUUCUGGCUAUGUGCCCGGACUGAGCACACAAAUUGAGGCAACUAAAAGAGAGAUUUUCAAGGCCUCGAACGGACAAAAGAAAGAAGUACUCGAGUCAGGGAAUAGAUGAGGAUAACGACUCCGCAUAUCAGACUCGGACUCCCAGGUCGGCGCCUCAGGAGGCUGACCUCUCCAUUGAACAGGCACUGAAGGAAAACUCUUUGACCACAACUAUCAAACCUUCCGGUCUAGAAUGGCCACUAGCUCCACCUCAUAUGAUAGAUCCUUGUCCAAUUGGAAAGUGCUAAUAUCUAACACGUGCGAUGGAUCACCGUGAUACUUCCGGAGUAUGGAUACAUGAAACACUGGAUGCACAACUGACAAGCUAGGUGGAAAGGUAAGUCUAUAAGCCACCUCUCCCACACGAACGAGAAUCUCAAAUGAGCCAACGAACCUAGGGCUAAGCUUUCCUUUCUUCCCGAAUUGCAUCACGCCCUUCAUAGUCGAAACUCGGAGCAACACUCGCUCACCAACCAUGAAAGCAAUAUCUCGAACCUUGCGGUUUGCAUAACUCUUCUGCCUAGACUAAGCUGUCCGAAGUCUGUCCUGAAUGAUCUUGACCUUAUCCAAGGCCUCCUGAACUAGAUCUGUACCGAAUAACCGAGCCUCUCCUGGCUCGAACCAUCCGAUUGGGGAUUGACAACUUCUACAAUACAACACCUCAUACGGAGCCAUCUGAAUGCUGGACUGGCAGUUGUUGUUGUAGGCAAACUUUGCCAAUGGCAAAAAAUGGUCCUACGAGUCUCCAAAAUCAAUAACACAGGCUCGGAGCAUAUCCUCAAGAAUCUGAAUAGUCUUCUCGGGCUGACCGCCCGUCUUGGGAUGAAAUGUUGUACUCAACUGAACCUGGGUGCCCAACUCUUGCUGAACCGCUCUCCAGAAAUGCGAGGUAAACUGCGGACCCCGGUCCGAAAUGAUAGAUAUAGGCACCAUAUGAAGGCGAACGAUCUCCCUAAUCUCAAUUAAUCUCUCGAACCAAAAACUCAUAAUGCCCAUACCGAGUGCGAAAUGCUGUCUUAGAACCCCAUGAAGGCGAAUGAUCUCCAUAAUAUAAAUCUCAACUAAUCUCUCAGACGAAUAGGUGGUGGCAACCAGAACAAAAUGCAUCGACUUGGUCAUCCUAUCCACAAUAAUCCAAAUGCAUCGACUUGGUCAUCCUCUCCUACUUCAACUCCGGAAGCUCAAUCUUUUAAAAUAAACCAUCGAGCCACUGAUGCUAGUACUUAACCGGCUGACAGUUCAAAGAACGAGCCACGUGUGCAACAAUGUCUUUCUUCAUUCUGCGUCACCGAUUGUGCUGUCUCAAAUCCUAAUUCAUCAUCGCGACGCCCGGAUGAAUAGAAUAUUGAUAAAUAUGGGCCUCCGCUAAGAUCAACUCCCCAAUACCAUCACCAUUGGGCACACAAACUCCCCCCUGCAAUCUCAAUACACCAUCAUCUCCCAAGGUCACUUUUUUGGAACCUCCACGCUGCAUCUGUCUCUCAAGACUCACAAAUGGGGAACAUCAAAUUGCCACUCACGGAUAUGCUCCAAUAACGAUGAAUGAGCGACCGUGCAAGCUAACACCUUGCUAGGCUCAUAUAUAUCCAACCUCACAACUCAAUUGGCCAAGGCUUGAACAUCCAAAGCAAGCGAUCUCUGGCUAAUCAGAAUAUAAGCAAGACUGCCCAUGCUAGUAGACUUCCUACUAAAUGCAUCGGCCACCACAUUGGCCUUCCUCGGGUUGUACAAGAUUGAGGCAUCAUAUUCUUUCAACAACUCCAACCACCUCCUCUGCCUCAAAUUCAAAUCCUUUUGUUUGAACAAGUACUGGAGGCUCUGGUGAUAUGUGUACACCUUACACGUCACACAAUAUAGACAAUGCCUCCAAAUCUUUAGAGCAUGAACAAUGGCUGCGAACUCUAGCUCAUGAACUGGAUAAUUCUUCUCGUGGAUCUUCAGCUGCCUCAAAGCAUAGGCUAUGACUCUGCCAUCCUGCAUCAACACUACUCCAAGCCCAGUAUGGGAAGCAUCACAAUAAACGGUAUACGGCCUUUAUCCCGUGGGAAAAAUCAAUACCAGUGACGUAAUCAGAGCUGUCUUGAGCCUCUGGAAGCUUGCCUCACACUCAUCUGACCACUUGAAUUGGGCACCCUUCUGGGCCAAUCUGGUCAUCGGGGCUGCAAUAGAUGAAAACCCAUCCACGAACCGACGGUAGUAACUUGCUAACCCCAAGAAACUUUGGAUAUCUAUAGUUGAUGCUGGUCGAGGCCAGUUCUUAACUGCCUCAAUAUUCUUGGAGUCUACCUUAAUACCCUCUGCUGAAAUAACAUGACCCAAGAAUGCAACAAAACUCAACCAGAACUCAAACUUCGAAAACUUAGCGUAUAACUGACUAUCAUUCAGAGUCUGAAGAAUCACUUUGAGGUGCUGCUCAUGCUCCUCCUUACUGCGGGAGGAUAUCAGAAUAUCGUCAAUGAAGACAAUCACGAACAAAUCUAAAUAGGGCCUAAACACUCGGUUCAUCAACUCCAUAAAUAUUGUUGAGGCAUUGGUCAACCCAAAUGACAUGACCAAAAACUCAUAUUUCCCAUACCAAGUGUGAAAUGCUAUCUUAGGGACAUCAGAUGCCCUAAUCCUCGGUUGAUGAUAACCAGAUCUCAAACUAUCUUUGAAAACACCCUAGCACCCGUAAGUUGGUCGAAUAAAUCGUCAAUUCUUGGCAAUGGAUACUUGUUCUUUAUCGUCACCUUGUUCAACUAUCGGUAAUCAAUGCACAUCCUCAUCAACCCAUCCUUUUUCUUCACAAAUGACACCGGCGCAACCCAAGGCGACAGACUAGGUCUAAUGAAAUCCUUAUCAAGAAAAUACUGAAGCUACUCCUUUAACUCUUUCAACUAUGGCGGGGCCAUGCGAUACAACAAAAUAGAAAUAGGCUAAGUGCCCGGACCUUGAUCAAUACUGAAAUCAAUAUCCUUGUCGGGCAGCAUGCAUGGCAUGUCUGAAGGGAAAACCUUGGAGAACUCCCGAACAAUAUGAACUGAAUCAAUAAAUGGGACCUUUGCGCUGGAGUCGCGAACAUACGCCAGAUAUGCUAGACACCUCUUCUCGACCAUGUGUCAAGCCUUAACAUAUGAAAUAACACUGCGGGUGGCCUGACCUAGGGUCCCUCUCCACUCAAGUCGAUGCAAGUCUGGCAACGCCAAGGUCACAAUCUUCGCGUGACAAUCCAAAAUAGCAUGAUACGGGGACAACCAAUCUAUCCCCAAUAUGACGUUGAAGUCCACUAUAUCCAAGAGCAAUAAGUCAACACGGGUCUCAAGACCCUCAAAUAUUACCACACAGGAAGAUGCACUCGGUCGACCACUACAGAAUCGCCCACCGGUGUAGAUACAUAAACAGGAACACUCAAGGCAUCUCUAGGCAUAACCAAGUAGGGUGCAAAAUAGCAUGACACAUAUGAAUACAUAGAUUCAGGGUCAAAUAGCACUGAGGCACCUCUAUCACAUACCAGAAUAGUACCAAUAAUGAAUGUAUUAGAAGACUCAGCCUCUAGCCUGACUGGCAAAGCAUAACAUCGAGGAUGGGCCCCACCCUUUAAACUAUCUUUCUAGGACGAUCAGCUACUCGUUGACCCCUACCUCUGGCGGUCCGAGAUCUACCUCGCUGAUCCCUACCUACACCUCUAUGGCCUAUACUCUUGCCUAUAGCUGGCUGGAAGGCCUAUGGAUCACCUGUUGACUAAAUCAUGGGACGAGGACCCUGCUGCUGAGAGGUGAAAGAUGCUCGAGGGCAAUACAUGGCAAUAUGUCUCGUGUUGCCACACGUGUAACAAGCCCUCGGCUGCUGAGAAUAAUGGAGUAAUGGUACGCUGAUAGGUACUGAUGAUGAGCUAGAAAUCUCCUGGUUAGAAUACUGUGGCUGGGAACCACAACUACAUGUAGUACCAUGUGCAACAUAUAGGCCUGACUGAAAGGGCCUCGGAGGAUGGCCUCUACCGUAUGAAUCCCUACCCCCAGAUGAUGUACCGUCAAACCUACUAGAAUGAAGAGGUCUCGUAUCUGUCCCCUGACCACCUCGUCGUGCAAGUUCCAUCUCUAUGCUGCAGGCUCCAUUGGCCGCCUCCUGAAAAGAAAUAUCACUGCCGGCUCCCAUGGCCAUCUGGUGUCGGAUCAGCUGAAUUAACCCAUCAAUAAAUCUCCGCACUCUCUACCUCUCAGUAUGGAGUAUAACAAUAGCAUGGGCAAAUGAAUAAAGCGAGUCUCAUACUGCGUGACUGUCACAGUACCUUGAUGAAGACGCUCAAACUGCCUGUGUAGAGCAUCUCGCUCAGUCACCAGGAGAAACUUCUCCAAGAACAACUCUGCAAACUGAUCCCAAGUCAAUAAUGGCGACCCUUCUAGCCUGGAUAGAAAAAUGUCCCUCCACCAAGUCUUGGAGGAUCCUGCAAGCCGAAAAGUGAUGAAGUCGACCCCAUUGGUCUCCACAAUACCCAUAGUCCUGAGAACCUCAUGGCAACUGAAUAAGAAGUCCUGGGGGUCCUCCAUAGAAGCACCGCUGAAGGUAGUGGUGAAGAGCUUAGUAAACCUAUCAAUCCUCCACAAAGAAUCUGCGGACAUCGCUGCACCAUCACCGGUCUGAGCUGGAAUACUCGACUGGGCUGCCACAGCUAGUUGAACUGCUAGAUCCUGAGGCUAAGGAUCUGGACCCUGAUGGCCUAGAUAAACAAUAGUCCUCCACCAAGUCUUGGCUGAUCCUGUGAGCCGAAAGGUGAUGAAUUCGACCCCAUUGGUCUCCACAAUACCCAUAGUCCUAAGAACCUCAAGGCAGAUGAAUAAGAAGUCCUAGGGGUCCUCUGUAGAAGAGUCACUGAAUGUGGUAGUGAAGAGCUUGGUGAACCUUUCAAGCCUCCACAAUGCAUCCGCGGACAUCGCUGCACCAUCGCCAAUCUAAGCUGGAAUACCCGCCUGGGCUGCCACAGCUAGCUGAACUAGUGGAACAUGAGCCUGAGGAGCUACCUGCUCCGGAGUCCGCGUAGCGGGAGUUGAACUCCUCCCCUAGCUUGAGAUGUGGCUUGUGUUACGGGAAGCAAAACCACUCUAGAGACGCUCUCCAUAAAGCCUACCAGUUGGACCAAAGCAUCCUGGAGUACUGCAGUGGCUAUGAGACCCUCUGGGACCUGAGUGGGGCCUACUGGAGCUGCUGGUGCUGGAACCUCUUCAUCAUAGUCAACAUGAGGAUCCACCUCUAGGACUGCUUCUCAGGGCUGAGCUUUGCCCCAGCCUCGGCCUCGCCCUCUGCCCCUGAAAGGAGCUGCUGCUAGGGGCUCGGGCUGCGGCACGGUAGAAUAGGAAGCACGUGUUCUCGCCAUCUACGAAAGAACAGAGUAGAAUGACAGUCAGUGUUAAGAAACAGAAUCGCACGACAAGAAAGAACAAAGUAAAAUUUUUCCUAACUCUGUAGCCUCUAGGAAAUAAAUACAGAUGUCUCCGUACCAAUCCCUCAGACUCUACCGAGUUUGUCCAUGAGUUGUGAGACUUGAGUAACCUAGUGUUCUGAUACCAACUUGUCACGACUCGGAUUUUCCACCAUCGGGAGUCGUGAUGGCGCCUACUAAUAGGAGCUAGGCAAGCCAAUUAUCAUUAACUCUAUAACAAACAUCGACAAUAUUAACAACAAUAAAACAUCUAACAAUAAAGCGAAGUCUCAAAUAUAAUUUACUGAAAGAAAUGCGGAAGCUUAAAACAUCUCUUUACACAAAAUCUGAUGUCACUAGCUCACGGACUACUAAAGAGUGCAACAAUCAAGUCUGAAUAAAAAAGAAUACAUAUUUUCUAUCUCAGUACAAUGAAAACAAACUAAGACAUGGAAAUGGACUCUGGCCUGCAAACGCAAGCUAGGCUACUUUGUAAGUCCCUGGACUGAAGUCAACUCCCGGUCAAUAAGCUACUAAUGUGGUCCAAAAGCUGAUGUGGUACCGUAAUCUGCGGAAAAAUCAUAGAAGUGUAGCAUCAGCAAAAUCGACCCCAUGUGCUGGUAAGUGCCUGGCCUAACGUCGGCAAAGUAGUGACGAGGCUACAUAGGACCUACCAAAAUCCACAUGUGCAUAUAUAUUUAUAUAUAUAUACAUAUAUAUAUAUACACACACACACACACACAAAGGCUACAGAAAUAACAAAAGAGUACAUCAACCAAAAAGGAGGAAGGGGCAUGAUCGGGGAUGAAACAAAGAAAACAGAUCAACGGAUAUAACAACGAAACUAUCUCAAUAUCGUAACUCAUAUAUAAGUGGUCAGCGCACUACAUGAUCCCAUUUCUUCAUUUGUAAAGGGACGGCGUGCCACAUGUUCCCAUUUCAUAACAUCUUGUGGUCCGCGUGACACACGAUCCCAUCCAUAAUAUCUCGUGGUCGGCAUGCCACAGGAUCCCAAUCAUAAUAUCUCAUGGUCGGCGUGCCACAUGAUCCUAAUCAUAAUAUCUCGUGGUCGACGUGCCACACGAUCCCAAUCAAAUUAUCCCGUGGUCGGCGUGCCACACGAUCCCAAUCAUAAUAUCUCGUGGUCGGCGUGCCACACGAACCCUUAUCUUUCGACACAAAACACAAAGUAAUCCCAGCAAGGGAGGAAAAAUAUCAUAAUAAACUAUCCCGGCAAGGGAGAUCCAGAUAUAACUAAACUCAUUCAAUUUCUACUUAACACGAUCAAAUCCGUACAUAGUCUCAACAAUUACUGGCUCAGUGUUAAAGAUAUUCAACCAAUUCCUCAUAUACAACAAUUAAGAAUUAGAUAAUUUAACAAUUUAGGACUCACGAUCAUACUUGACACCAGUGUAUAGAUACUCGUCACUAUGCCUAUACACCGUACUCAACAUUUAGCAAUUUGCAAAUAAUGCCCUAAUCAUAUUCCCUCAAGCCAAAGUUAGAUCAAACAUUUACCUCGAAAGCUCCAAACUCAACUGAAGCCUCUAGUAUAGCUUUACCCCUCGAAUUCACCCCGAAACCUCUCGAAUCUAGUCACAAAUUACUCAAAUGUAUCAACAAAUCCUAGUUAAAUCAAUUUGAAUGCUUAAGAAUUAAUUUCCCAUAGUUUUGCCUAAGAAUUCCCAAAACGCCCCCAGGCCCACGUUGUCAAAACCCUAGAUUCAAACCAAUACCUGGUUACCCAUUCCCCCACGAAUUCAUAUUUUUGAUUUGUUUUGAAACCGGAACUCAAAUUGAGGUCCAAUUCCCCAAUUUAGCAAAAACCUAAGUUCUACCCAAAAUCCCGUCACCCGUGGAAAACCUUGAUUUUAAGAUGAAAACAUGAUAAAUGAUGUUAAAGAAUGAAUAAAUUGGGUAGAAGUUGACUUACAAAUAAUUUGGAGAAGAGAGAGUUCGUGAAAAAUCGCCCAUGAGUUUGGGUUUUGAAAAUAUGAAACAUAAAGCUUUAAAAUCGUCAAAGUAUAGGAUAUGCAGGUGCAGGUAUCACAAUUGCAAAACUGGGUUUGCAAUUGCGAAACCAGCAGGGUUGAGAUUUGCGAGAAAGCAGUUCGCAUUUACGAACAAUGGACGGCCCAAGGGUUUUUCGCAUUUGCGAUCCAAAUCUUCGCAUUUGCGAACUACCCCAGUUCCGGUUUUGUGAGACCAAAGAUCGCAUUUACGAUACAACCCAGAUCACCAGAAUUCGUAUUUGCGUCCAAAAGCUCGCAUUUGCGAGACUCGCAUUUGCGAGUUCACCCUUCGCAAAUGCGAAGAUCACAGAAGCCCAAAAAUACCAGAUUUUUUUCCUAAGGCUAAAAUGCAACCCAACGCCUAUCCAAAACUCAUCCGAGCCCUCGGGGCUCCAAACCAAACAUUCACACAACCUCAAAAACAUCCUACAGACUUACUCGUCCUAUCAAUUGCCAAAAUAACACCAAAUUCUAUGAAUUAAGCCUCGUAACACAUAAUUCUUCUUUCAAUUUUCAUAAACUUCAAAUUUCUAAUUUUAGUCCGAAACACGUCAAACGACGUCCGUUUUCAACCAAACUUUACAGGUAGUGCUUAACACAUAUUUAUGACUUGUACCAGGCAUCGGAACCAAAAUACAAGCCCGAUACCAUAGACUUUUGACUCUUUUUUUUUUUCAAAUUUUCAUAUCAUUUUAAGAAAAACAAUUUCUUUCAAAAAUUCUUUACUCGGGGUCGGGACUUCGGAUUUUGUUUUCGAGAAUAUGCUCGAGUCGCAUAUUUUUCGAUGGACCUUCCGGGACGGUCACCUCACGGGUCCGGGUCCGUUUACCCAAAAUAUUGACCAAAGCUAACUUUAGCAAUAAUAAUAUAAAAAUUCUUCAAAUGUUUCAUAGAAUUCACAUAUUUCAACAUAAAAGCUUUGCGGCUACGUGCCCAAACUGCGCACGUAAAUAGAAACAAAUAAAAGCGAUUUUUUUAAGGCCUCAAAAGCACGGAAAAAGGAAAAAUUACAGUGAUGACCCUUUGGGUCGUCACAAUAUUUGACUGCUAUAGUUGAAUAUCGAAUAAACUUACAGUACUGCCAUAGUCAAAUUUAGAAUAGAGUUAUAGUAUACUAUUGGUAUUUAUUAGCUUUCCACUUGGCUUAACCAGGACGUCACUUAUAUAUGGUAACUUUAUUCUUUUAAUAUAUAUAUUCCCUGAUUUUGUGAUGUUUCUUCAGGACGUAUGUUUACUUUAUUAAAUAUGUAAGUAAAUUGAAGUACUGCCAUAGUCAAAUAUAGAAUAAAGUUACAGUAUACUAUUGGCAUUAAUUAGCUUGCCACUUGGCUUAACCACGACGUAACUUAUAUAUGGUAACUUUAUUCUUUUAAUAUAUAUAUAUAUAUAUAUAUAUANNNNNNNNNNNNNNNNNNNNNNNNNNNNNNNNNNNNNNNNNNNNNNNNNAUAUAUAUAUAUAUUUUGUGAUGUUUCUUUCUUCAACAUGUAUGUUUACUUUAUUAUAUAUGUAAGUAAAUUUUUAUUUGAUUUUAUAAACUUUUUUUUGUUAUUUGGAUAAACAUAGAAUUGUAUGCUAUAUAUUAUAUUCAUUUUAAAAUAAAUUCAUUUUAUUCAAAUCUAGCUAUCGUGUUUCGAAGAAAUAUAUUUGUAGAAUUUUAAAUGUGCAAGAAUUUUAUAGUUAUAUGGAAUACUUCUUUUUGCUAGAGGCAAAGUAGUAUUUAAAUAAUUACAAAAAUAACAAAAGUACAUAUCAUGAUUGCAUAUGAUCAUUAACGAAUUAAGUAUGAUAACCUGAUAAAAAAAGAUAAAUUUUAUUUUUAAUUUAAAUAUAAAUUAUGAAACUUUAUCUAUAAAUUUAAAAUUAUCUUUUAAUUCAAAUUCUUGAUUAUAUUAUAUUAUUAUUUAACUAAAAUAGUCAAAUAUAGAAUAAAGUUACCAUAUAUAUUAUUGAAAUUUAUUAGCUUUCCAUUUGGCAUAACGAUAAUGUCAAUUACAUAUGGGAACUUUCUUGCUUUAAUGUAUAUAAAAAAAAUUCCUAACAUAUAUAUAUAUACAAGGAUUUGGGCCUUGGGUAUGGAGUCGCUUUCGUUAGAGAGCACAUUACCCCCAAUGUGGAAUUUUUUGGCACUAAUCCGAAUUUAAUCAGGCUACAAUAUGGAUAUCGGACACCUUACGAGAAACCAAAAAAAAUAUUAUAAUAGGUGGUUCAAAGCAUUCUUGUUCAUCUAAAAUUGGUAUAUCUUUACAAUAUAUCAAGUAAUGGAAAAGCUAGAAUUUCAUUCACUAAAAAGUACGAUGUUGAUCAACCGGAUAUAGUGUCACGACCCAAUUUUCCUGACCUAGUUGUAAUGGCGCCUCUCAUGAAAGCAAGGCCAUCCAGCUAACCCAAAUCAUCUCUUUAACAAUUAUUAGACAUAAACGAAUAGAUAAAUACAGCUUAACGAGAAUAAUUAUCAGUAUUUACAACCCAACACAACCCGACCGGGUAUCAGAAGUCACGACAUCUAAAGAAACCUGAACACAACUACAGGGCCAAUAAUAUAAAAAAAUAAAUACUGGAAUUCUAAAGAUAUCAUUUACGCGGUAAAAAGCACCAACUGAGACGGACCAAGUCACAAUCCCCAACGGUGCUCUACCCCACGCUCAUAUCCGGCGUGCAAGUCACCUCAAUACAUCACUAUGAUGUGCCAAUUCAGGGUUUAGAACCCUCAUGAUAUCAUUUACAAGUAUUACCCACCUCUAUCUUACCAAAAAUAGAACGAAUAUAUCACAAUAUGCUAAGGAAACCCAAUAUAAAACAAUCGAGAAAUAGAAAAAAUCUCGAAACUAGCAAUACCCGAGCUCUGGGUCCGCUUCCCAAAAAAUUACAAAACUCAUAUUACCGGAUUUCUCGUCCCGCCACGAGUUCAUAUAUACCAGGAACUCCCAAAUCCGAGCUCAAUUGACCUAUCAAAUCCAAAUUUGAAAUAUCAAAAACUCAAGCACUAGCUUUACCCUUUUUGAACAAUUUCAACCAAUUUCCAUAUCUAUCAUAAUCUCAUUUAUUUACGCCAAAGAACUUACCUCCAAUCAAUCCUCCUUGAAUCCCUCUUCAAUUUGUCCAAAAUAGCUCUCAAAAUUCUCAACAAUGGUGGAAAAAUGACUUAAACUCGCAGAUGAAAUGUCCUUAAAACAUUCUACCCAGGUGCAAAAUAACCCUAUGUGAUCGCAACACUUCUAUUCCUAGCGCAUAGCACAAAACUCCCAGCCUCCAAAAUCCUCUUGUGCGAUUGCAUGACAACCCCUGUGAUCGCAGUGGACAGACUCACACACCUAGGUGAUUUCACCUUAGGCUUCGCGUUCGCAUAGAACAAAACACUGCCAGGAACCUCAAGUCCCAUUACACUACGCGAUCGCAACACCACAAGUGUGAUCGCACUGAACAAAUCUUCCAAACCAAUGAAAUCGCACACCCCCAACGCGAUCAUACAGAGCAAAUUAAAAUUCCUAUCAAAACCUCCUAUGCGAUGGCAAUGCACCCUAUAAGAUAGCAUAUAGAAAAAAUCUCUGCUACAUUUGCGCUAUUCUCUGCAACUCCCAACGGCCAAGAUUGGUCCGAUUGACCAUUCGAAAACACCCUGAGACCCCUGGGACCUGAACCAAAAGUUCCAACCUAUGCUAAAACAUCAUACAAACUCGUUCCAAUCAUAAAACACAUCCAACAAGACAAAAAUCACCAAUUCCCGACGGAUUCAAGUCUAAGUUCAACUAAAACUUCUGAAACUCACAUUCGAUAAAAAACCCAACCAAACGACGUUUGAAUAACCUGAAAUUUUGAACGCAUAUCAAAAAUCACACAUUGAAGAUACAAAAACUCUUAGAGUUCCAUUCCGACCCUCGGAUAAAAAUCUCUCUUAUCAACUGGAAUUCGCCAAAAUACUAACUUCGUCAAUUCAAGCCUAAUUCUACACCAUGCCUCCAAAAUCAAUUCCGAUCACACUCUUAAGUCACGAAUCAAUUCUUGAAGCUAACCGAAUCACCAGAAAUCACAUCCAAGCCCUAUAUCUCAUAUGUCAAUAUCCGGUUGACUUUUCUAACUUAAGCCUUCUUAAAAGAGACUAAGUGUCUCAUUUCCUACCAAAACCAAUCUGAAUCAAGUCAUUCACCCAAGACUCAUAUAAUAACACAUAAAUGAACUGAAAUUGGGAAAACGGGGUGGUAAAUCAUGUGACGAUGGGUCAGGUCAUCACAUCCUCCCCAACUUAAACAAACGCUCAUGCUCGAUCGUACCCAAAGUUGUCCUAGAAGAAAACCAAUAGCUGAAUGACCAUACCAAGAUGUUACCCUAUCUCACAUAGGUCCGACAACACAAUAUAGCUGAAAUUAGCCAAUCCAGUCUAGACUAUAAACCAUAGAUUUACCUUUUCACUUCUGAAAUCAUAAAUACGAUCACAAACUCUCACUUAUACUUUGAAUAGUCCCGAACCAGCUGUAAUAACCCAUGCCUGAAACUCAACUGCAAUUAUAUGAUGUACCACAUAGCUCAAACACAUGCAGCAAUAACUCCCAUUAACAACAGCUGUCCACACAACCAUAUACCGAUAGAAACCUCUUAAUAGCUAAAGUCUCAUUCCAACACUUUCAUAUUCUACCAAUGAUAAUGAAACACACAGUAGACCACAAGCAUUCCUCAGAUCAACCAUUCAUAAAGGCAUUUCCUUCCCUUUUGACUAAUACCACAGCAGAUUCCGAGCUGAACAGAACUACCUUUUCACUUCUGAAACCAUAAAUACGAUCACAACCUCUCACCUAUACUUUGAAUAGUCCCAAACCAGCUGUAAUAACCUAUUCCUGAAACCUCAGGUGCAAUUAUAUGAUGUACCACAUAGCUCAAACACUUGCAGCGAUAACUCCCAUUAACAACAGCUGUCCCCACAACCACAUACCGAUAGAGACCUCCUAAUAGCUAAAGUCUCAUUUCAACACUUUCAUUUUCUACCAAUGAUAAUGAAACACACAGUAGACCAUAAGCAUUCCUCAGAUCAACCAUUCAUGAAGGCAUUUCCUUUCUUUUUGACUAAUACCAGAGCAGAUUCCGAGCCGAACCUCGGUAUCCUCCUUUCAACAAGCUGAAAUCAAAUCCGUUUGUAUCCAUUAAUGAUCCGAACGAUCUCUUCUGACCAAACACACCACCCUGGUGACAUGACACAUCAAUACGGUCAAAGGCUCAACUUGUAUAACUAUGCACACCUAUAAACAACGGUCUGAAUAUACACCGAUGAUUAAAAUGACUCAACUGAAAGAGAUGUACCUCAAGAUCGCCAGUACCAUCACCACACAAGGCUGAGAAUCCGUCUUACAUCAUAGAAUAGAUCAUAUAAAUCUAACCGCAAGGUCGUAUCGCCACAUAUCCUCGCUACAGUGUACGAUCCUAUCCAGCCAUUGCCCCACAUGAGACACCUCAGGUCACUAUACUCAAAAUUGACAACCACAUAUGAUUGAUAUCUGGGACCCAAACAAAUCAUUCUACCCAUGGUAAAGCAAGUAAUAUACAUCAUAUGAUCCUAAAAAGGACACAACCAAUGCGUCAUUCUCCGAGCAACACCCAAUACGAACUUUCCUUAGAAACCCAAAAGUAAGGCAUACAAAGUAGCAUUUGGAAAAAACUAUUCUCAACAUCACAAUGUUGCAGUUGCAACCCGACCUAGAAAACAUACCCAUGGAGGCGUGCCACCCGAUCCACAUAUACCCAUGGCAGCGUGCCACCUGAUUUACACAUACCCAUGGCGGCGUGCCACCUGAUCCACACAUAUAUCUCACAUAAGGAGAUGCACAUCGAGCCAAAUUUGCUCAUUUCAACAAAAUACCGAGUAUCGGUCGUAAGCACACUGAGUGCAUGACAAUAUCUACAUAUAGUGUCAUAAGCUACAAAAUUCAAGCACAACUGAGGUUUCCCCCUCAACUUCCACUAUGAAUCCAAAUAGCACCGCACCAUAUGUGCCCAUAGUCCGCAAAACAUUAUGUCUCGCAACGCAAAAACAACUCAUAGAUCUUUCCAGCUCACUGAUAAUCUCAACAACGGUCGAAUCAACCUAACACUAAGACAAUCAGUCUGAAUUUCAACAUCACGUCCAAAAUCUAACAUACUAGCAAAUAAAGAUCCAUUCAGGCCUCCAAAUCCCAAUAGCUUCCAACAGUACCAACACAUACAAUCCACAACCACUACAUACUCUGUACUUGAGAAUUCUCAGUCUCUAACUCCAUAUAGCACACGAAUCACUAUAUCUGAUCCCAAAUUUCCCAUUAUGAAUACAUAUAACACCUCGUAUACCCAAGCAUUCCACGAAAGAUAUUCAAAAAUUCCCAUGUGCCAUCAUGCAAAAUCAGAUAUCAACAGUCGUCUAGCAAGAAAGGGGCGCAAUACUACCGAAGUAUUAUCAGCCUGAUCACAUUGCCCUUUUUCUGAGACAUAUACUCUCUUCAAAUCACUUCCAAAUUAACAGUACCAUUUCCUUGAUUACCUGAGGCUACAUGUUGCCUAAAAAUUUUAUGAACUCCUUUUUAGAAGUGAACUGUAACUCAUCUAACCAAUAACUCCCUCCGAUCCCAUUAGGAAAAAGAAUCAUUACACAUUCCAUGCUCCGCAUACCCAUAGAAAGAUAUAUAUAUAUAUAUAUAUAUAUAUAUAUAUAUAUAUCAGCCACAGUAAACCCAGCAAGAACUCUCUUCCAGUUCCUUUUGCACAAGCUAAACUGCCAGGACUGAAUCCUGCUAUCCAAACCAAGCUAAGCAAGUUGUUAGAACUCAAGAGUUUCGCUGCACAAUACCUGUAAAGGCUUAUUACCUCGAAUACAUACAAGAAUUAAUCAUAUCUUUACCAUACUGAUUCAGUCUAGUAUCAAGUUAUUCCAUCUAUUUAAUUUCCCCUCUGGUUCAUCAUAAACUUGAUAUUACCUCUUGUUGUGGCACCACAAUGCCUCACCCCAAGUUUACCACACGAGAUUCAAACAUAAGGCCACACUGUCUAAGACCCAUACGCCAUUGAAUACCCUCUCAAAUGUUCCAAUUAAUACUACAUUCCAGCAUGCUCUGCUUGAAGAACUUACUAUGAACCUGAAUUUGUUGCAAUUACCUUCUAGAUACUGAUACAUAGAAUCACAUAAUCAUCAUAAAAAUAUCACAAUUCUUGACCUUUUCAAUGGAACACAUUCUCUAACAACAAGCAUGACUUUAAGGCACCUGAUUAUUACAUGUAGAAUCUUGAACACAUUAAAACCAUUCUCAAGAAUCGUACCCUCUUAUUCAAAUUGCAAAUUACCUGGAUUAACGAAUAGAACCACUCGUGCCAUAUAGAAUUCUGACACUGCAUAACAUGAUCUCAUACCAAUACAAACCACCAUCUUCCUUCUCUGUACACGAAGCAUUCUUUAUCAACAAUAGUUUAAGACAUCCUAGUACUUUCUCAUAUCUACGAAGCACCACAUACUCUUUGUCAAAAUUUUUCUUCACUCGUGCCAUCCUCGGCUCAAUUUCUGUGACCCAAACUGAUCUGUAAGCAUAUCUCAAAAUACAACCAACAUAGCACAUAAUCGUGCAAUCAUCGAAUCAACAAUAGCCUCACCAACCUGGCUUGAAGCCAUACAUCAGGACACACGCAAUAACCUGUAAUACUUUUUCUCUAAUGAUGCCACAAUAUCAUAGUGAGAUUAAACUCAAAUCGUUUACUAGUUUAUGAAAAACACAAUAUCAUCUAGUACUGUAAUCCUCUGCAAACCUUGCAUUCGUCCCCACAUCCGCUGAGUCCAUUCUCUUAAGCGACCCAAAUUUUUAAAUCGCAACACGUACAUUUCAAUUACACAUGAGAUCUACAUACACAUAAGGAGAAUACGACUUAAGAACACUCUGCAUGAGAUAAUCCACCUGCUUUGCCUCAAUUUAAUAUUUUAGCACUCAUUUCCCCAUCAUUUACGUUACACAGUCAAUUUAGUCUUCCUGAGUCUAAAACCAUACCGCCGCCCAUAUUGAACUUUACAAUCCAACUAGAUGAGACGAAAAUAUUUUUCACGUGCCCAUAACUCAGGGCUACACAACAAAUCACAACAGGAAUCGAACACUUAUUAGUUCAUCUAUUAUCCAACAGACUCCUUUGUCACAACCAAGUCAUAUUGAUACAUCUCGCAGUACUAACAUACUCAUCAUCUGGAUGUCCAACCGUCAUUCCGGCUAAUAGGGACAAUACCGAACAUAUAAAUUUAAAAUACUUGCUCACACCAUCAACACCUUGGAGCUCAAGCCAUAGGAAAAGAUCCGGCCUCAAGUCCUCCAGACUGGCCUAACAUACUCACGAGGAUCACAUCCCGCCCUUCGAUCGGGGAAAUCACAAACCAUCAAGGUACAUAUACACCGAGCUUUCAAGUGUGCAUACCGAUGUGUGGAAGGAAAUUCAAGAGUUGCAUCUCAAGCUGAAUUAAGUAUGCACGAUAAGAAUUCCAAGAAAGUGAAGUUUUCCUAAAGGUUCUGCAGCCUCUCGAGGAUAAAUACAGACGUCUCAAUAUCGAUCCACAAGACUCUACUAAACCUGCUCAUGACUCGUGAGACCUAGUAACGUGUGCUCUGAUACCAACUUAUCACGACCCAAUUUUCCUGACCUGUCAUGAUGGUGCCUCUCAUGAAGACAAGGCCAGUCAGCUAACCCAAAUCGUCUCUUUAACAAUUAUUAGACAUAAAUGAAUUAAUAAUACAACCCAACCCAAUACACCCCGACCGGGGUAUCACAAGUCACGAGCAUCUAAAGAAAUCUGAACACAACUACAGGGCCAAUAAUAUACAAAAAUAAAUUCUAGAAUUCUAAAGGCAAUGUCCAGUGCUGCGAACGACGACGGUCACCUUGCUCAGCUACAAUAGUAAUACCUUCAAUCAGCGAAUAACCCGUAACGGGUAAGCAAUACCUGCAACUGCAUGCAAGGUACAGGAAGUAAAGUGAGUACUCCAACUCAGUGAGUCAUAAAGGCAAAUAAUAGCGGAGCAGCUAGAAACCACGUAAAGCAAAUCAUCAUGCUAUAUAGUAUAGUGUAACCCAUUGAGAAAACCGGGAAAAUGUGAAAAUACUUUAGAGAAUAUCUUGACUCAGUUCAAAAACUCUUUUGAAAGUAUCAUUUUCCAAUAGUUGAUCAAAUUAAUGCGGAACAGGUAGUGCAAGUCUGUAUGGUCGCGGAAAAAUUUUGCUAAGUAAUAUAGGAUUUUAUGGUACCAUGUAGGCUAAUUAUUAUAUUUUAUGUUCUAUUAACAUGGUGAAAAUCAACUAGACUCUGUAAAUGUUAGUAUAAGUCUUAUGGUAAGUGAUGUGAGGUCCAAAUGGAAGCCUAAGUGUAUGCCAAAUGGGAAAUAUUUUGUAAUAGGCUAAAAUUUCAAAUGGAUUCGAAGGCUCCACUUUAAAUGAGACUAUCUAAAUAUUUAUUAGGUUUUAUGUGAUGAACAACGUGUCAUAAGAAAGAUAUUUGAGUUUAGUUUCCAAGGCUUCAAACCGUUCAUCAUUUGGACACUCCUACCCAAAGUUAUGAUCAAAUUACCAUUGGCUGGAAAAUGUGAUCCUAUGUCAUGUCAGAUCUGCGAUCUCAAUGUCCAUUAUGCGGUCCGCCUUUUUUAUCUGUACUCGCAAAUUUGACUGGUGUCGCCCAAUUUUAGACUCCAAUUUUGCAGUGCAUUAUGCGGCCAGCAUUCGCGUUCUGCGGUCAAUUAUGCUAUAGCAGACCUGAUAUCGGAGGGUAUAUUUUCCUAUUUUUAUAACCCGGCCCCAUUUGGAUAUAUAGGCCUUAGGGUUCAUUUUGGGGUUAUUUCUUACUGAUUUUAGAGAGAUGUGAGAGAGUUUUAGAGAGAUAAGGAGGGACCCAACCUUUAAAUCAUCCAAAUCUUGCAUCAAACUUCAAGAAUCAAACAACCCAAUCACAUGUUCUUCAUCUAUAAGGUACGAUUUUAUACCCUAGGUUUUAAUUUCGAGUUUGGAGUAAAGGAUGGUAUAUUGAGGUAUGAUUCUUGGGUGUAUUAGUAUUGUGUAUACAUGCAUGUACAACCUAGAUUUAUGGAGACGAUUGUUUAACAUAGAUAAGUAAAGAUUGGCUUAGGGAAUGAAGGAAAUCUUGAAAAGGGGGAUUUGAAAUCAAGAUGCUCAACUAGUAUUAUAUAAAAUACUCAAAUGAGCUAGAAUUUGUGUUCAAUUUUUCUAUGUAUAAAACUAGAUUGAAGUUAAUAGAAUUUCCGGAAUAUCGUAGUAAUUAAAGGAAAGAUCAAGAAAGGUAUGUAUGGCUUAAACCCCAUUGUUUUUAGAAAUUGAGCUCUAUCUAUGCUUGUUUAAAUGUGGUAAGAUUGAACUUUGGAUUCUUGCUUUGAUCGAUACAUUACAUGAAUUGGUGCCAUGACCCUAUAUUUGUGAAAGAUGUAUUCCAAUAUGAUCAAUGUGCUAUUCAUAAUAACUUGAAAAGGUGCAAGGAAUAUGAAUCAUGUAUUGAAAUGCUUAGACAAUGAAUUGAGAUUGAAAAAUGUGAAGUAUAUGCUAAAUUGCCUAGAUUUCAAGACAAGUUUAAAUUGUGAUUAUUGUGACGAAUCAUAAGAAUUCCUCUCUAUGCUUAUAAAUUUAAUUUCUUAUGUGUAAUUGACAUCUUGAAUUGAAUGUCUUGAUUAUUGAAAUUGACAUAGAUGUGAAAUAUGUGGAACUAAUGUGAAAUAUGGGAAUGAAGAGAUUGAAAUAUGAAAUGUGGCCUAGUGCCAAGUAUGAUGUGAUAGUUGUGGCCCCAAGUGCCUAUGAAUUGAUAUAUGUGAAAUGAAGAUUAAAAUGAGAUGAUUAAGGAGAAAGGAACAACUCCUAGGUAAGGCAGCCUAGUCGAUCGGGCCGUGAUCGGAUACCAUGCUGCAAACAUGAUGGUACUAUGUUGAUAUUGGAUUCCAGAAAUUGAGAAUGAGAUUGUGAUUGAAGUACAUGUCUCAAAUGAGGCAACCUAGCCGAUCGGGUCUUGAUCGGCUCCGCUCAAGAAAGCGGUGGUAUUGUGACUGAUGAUCAACAAUGUCAAGUGCUCAAAGCUAAGUUAUGGACAUAUGUGAAAGAUUAUAUGCUUCGUUUAUUUGAUGAUAUGGUGAUUGUUAAAGCUUUUGAAUUAAUUUUAUGAUCUCUUUAUUCUUGUUUGACAAUUCUUUCUAAUGCCAAGGUGUUAAUGACUGCUUUAUUCUUGUUUGGUAGUUAUUUCUAAUUAGAUGGUGUUUAGUUAUACAUACUAGUGCUAUUUAAUGGCAACAACGUCCCUUUUGCCGGGAGUGCUGUAUACAGGUUGUUCCACAGCGAGCAGUAGUGACCAGUGAUAGCGGUAUUCUCUUCCCAUUAGACUUGGUGAGCCCUACUCUAUCCCGGGGUCAUGUCAUGUAUCUUCUGUCUAUUUUCUCAUGAUGUACUUUGUAGUUGAGGUAUAGCCAGAGCCUUGUUGAUGGUAUUUCCAUAUAAAUCUUCAGUUAUGUUUAGAGGCUCCAUAGACAGGUUGUGGGUGGUGUUUGGCAUUGGGAAUUAAAGUAGAUAUUUUUUAUGUUUGGCAAAGAUUUAUAAAACUUAAUAUUUUUGUUAACUAUGAUUUAAGGUUGUUAAUGAAAUACUUUCUAAAGCUACUUAAUGGAGUUUAUCUUCUCUUUAUUCAUGAACUAGUUUGGGUAGAAUGAAAUCUAACAGGCUUGCUCAGUCGGGUUUACUCGGUUGAGCACCGGUCGCACUCCUCGGAUUUUGGGGCGUGACAAACUUGGUAUCAAAGCCUAAGGUAUAAUAGUGUCCUAGGAUGUCUUGGAGCCGUGUCUAGUAGAGCCUUUCUUAUCAAUGUGCAGUCGACCACAUCUGUAAGUUGGAGGCUAUUUAGACAUGUAGGAAUUUCACCUUUCUUUUGGUACUCCAAUCGUGCGAUAUAGCUCAAGUUAGGGAGAAACUUUCCUCUCUAAGUCUUAUUCUCAAGAUUGGUAACGUUGAUACCAUAAUUCACGAAUUAGAAGCAUGUAAGGAGGGACAGAGUGCAAGUGGAUUGUCCAAGGACUUGUUAGGAGAAUGUAUUGAGUUUUGGAUGGAUUGGUAAAACAUGUCGCUAAGAGGGGAGUGUGCUUGUCCCUAAUGAUGUCUCUGCACCAUCAGAUCAUGUAGUAUAUCAGCAUGUUACCCAAGUACGUUAGGGAUGUGGAGUCGGGGGGUAUCGAUUAAGCUAUUGCCCUAUCAACUAAAUGUCAUUAAGGGGGUCAAAUAAAGAUUCUUACUCAUUGAAUAUGUACAUCCAUAUUGAAUAAUUCUCAUAAACAUGGUCUUAACAAGGUGGUGAAUAACAAAAAAUUGCAUGUAUCGACUCUUUAAACGAGAUGCACUAUUCGUAAAUCCACUCAUGUGACGACCGACUCGUUGUCUCAUGUAAUUUCAUCCCAUUUAACCUGUUUAAUGCUUCUACAUGUUUCAUUGUAUGGCCUUGGUGAAUUUGAAGUAAUUCGGAUAGAGUUUGGUUGGAAAUGAGACAAUUAGUCUCUUUAAAGAAGGGUUGGUUUGGAAAAGUAAAACGGAUGUUGACUUGCAAGUAAGAGGGCUCGGAAUGGAUUUCUGAUGAUCUGGUUAGUUUUGGGGGAGGAUUUAAGGCUUAUGAGAGCAACCGAAAGUAAUUAUGAAAGCUCAGUGUAGAAUUAGCCUUGAAUUAGCUAAGUUAUCAUUUUGGCGAUAUCCGUUUAAUAUGUGAGAUUUUGAUCCGAGUGUCAAAAUGGAGUUCUGAGAGUUGCAGCAGCUUCAUUAGGAGAUUUUGGAUGUGAGUGCAAAAUUUCAGUUGAUACAAAGGUGUUUAUGUCGGGUUUUUGAUCGAAUGCAAGUUUUGGAAGUUUUUGUUUUACUUAGGCUUGUAUCCGUUGUAAUUUGAUGAUUCUCGUGUUGUUGGAUAAGUUUUUAUGAUUCAAGCAAGUUUGAGUGAGGUAAUAGAAUAUAUAUGUACUUUUGGUUGAGGUCCUGGGGGCCUCGGGGUGAGUUCGGAUGGUUAAAAGGAGAGUUUUGGAGUUUUGAAGUUUUGGCAUGUUUUGGAGUUCUAGUACCUGUUAUUUCCGCAUCUACGGAAAUGGGACCACAUAAGCGGUUCCCCAGAUGCGGUGAGGGAGGUCGCAGAAGAGGGCCUUGAAGACCUGGGCAAAUUAGCAGAAGCGGACUUGGUUCCGCAUAAGCGGUCACCGCAAAUGCGGUUUUGGACUGCAUCAGCAGCCCUAGGAUUUUUAAGUUAAACCGCAUAAGCGUUGUUCUAACCGCAAAAGUGGAAGCCGCAGGUGCGGUGCGUGAACCGCAUAAGCGAAUAUGACUGGACAUAACAUAUUAAGUCUUUUUCGCGAAUUUUGAGGGAGAAAUAUUUGGGGCUUCAUACUAAGGAGAUUUUUGGGAAAUUUUGAAGAGGGUUUCGAGGGUUUCCAUGAGGUAUGGAUUCUUGGCCUCAAGAUAUGUUAUAAAAGACAUGAUUAACACUGAAAAUCCAAGGAAUUUAAGGUUAAAAUGGAGGUUAGGGCUUGAAAUUUAAAAUAGUUUAAAAUAGUGAUUUGAGGAGUCGAAUGGACUUUGAUUUUUGUAAAUUUGGUAGUGUAUAGACUCGUGGCAAGAUAAGGAUCGUUUUAAUAUAAAGUAUUCUGGAUUUCGAGAAGCGGGCUCGGGGCUCGGUUUUUGCAAAUUUCAUGGUUUUCGAUAUUUUUCAAGUCUUUUCGAUCGGGUUGUAUUCCCUUAGCCUAUUGUAAUGUAUUCAAUGUGGUUUUGGCUAGAUUCAACGCACAAAGAGUUCAAUUCAAGAGGCAAGGGCAUUGCUAGCUAUUUUUCGGCCAACUGGAGGUAAGUAAUUGAUGUAACUGCUCCUUUGAGGGUUUGAUCCCCAGACUUUCACAUCGUAACACUAUAUUGAGGCGUGACACACAUUCCACAAUGUAUGUGGGGUCGUAUAUUGUUGGGAAUUGAGACUUAUUCCCUCCCGAGUAUAAAUUAAUACUAUAUUGGCGAUUGAAAUGCAUACUUUGUUAUAGUGAUUGGGGCUUAUUGCCGUGUUUGGGGCCUUGUUCCGACCUGCAGAAUACUUAGGGGAUCUUUAUGUGCUUUCCUCACUUAUGUGCAUAACAUAAAUUUUCAGUCAUGUUUUCAAAUAUUAAUAACAAUAUAAUAACUAUGUUUAUAUAUGAACCUUAAAUUAAAAGGAGAUGAGGGCAUAGAUCCCUAUAAUAUGUCACGCCCGAUUAAUUGUGGACUUAUUUGACUGAGAUUGGUCGGGGACCCAGUGGUGAGGAUGUUUCCUUGAUAUGUAUUGGGCUACACGUCGUAGCGAUUAUUAUUUAUUGAAAUUAAGGCCGAGAGCAUGUUUUAUGCCAAUACCUGCUGAUAUUGCACUUGGGCUGUAGGAGCCCCUUCGGAGUCUGUACAUACUCCCAAUGAGCACUAUCGACGUUAAAUAAGUGGAGCGAGCUGCAUGUCGCAGCGGAUACUGGAAUGUACCAUUAUAUGUGUUGCAUUCUUUCAUUAAUUAUUACUUGACUAUAUUACUUGUUGUUUACUGUUUCCACUAUUUUGGAUAUAAAUUGCUAGAUAUAGAGUACUUUAUGCAUUUUCUGCAUUUUCUUACUUUCAGACUGUAGUUAUGUUUAUUACUCACUGGGUUGGAGUACUCACUUUACUCAUUGCACCUUGCUUGCAGAGCCAGGGCAAUUUCGGGCUGAGUAGAUCCAAUUGAUCGAGAGUUCUUCUUUCGGGAGUAUUUGAGGUAGCUGCAGGGCAUUCACAGCCGAUGAUUCUCCCAUCUAUCCUAUCCUUUUAUUUUCGCAUUCUCAUUUUUAGACAGACUUUGUAGUAGGAUGUUACUCUGUAUUUAAAGGCUCAUGUUCGUGACACCAGGUGUUAGUUGGACUGUAUUGGUAAUUUUUUAGAUUCUCCGCUUUAUUAUAUGUAUUUUAGACUUCCGACUUAAAUGUUACUUAUCUUCAUCUAUUAAGUUAAUGGGGUUAUUGUUAU
rnacentral:lncRNA from 1 species